GUGAAUCAUCGAGUCUUUGAACGCACAUUGCGCCCCCUGGUAUUCCGGGGGGCAUGCCUGUCCGAGCGUCAUUGCAACCCUCAAGCGCGGCUUGUGUGUUGGGCCGUCGUCCCCCCUCGACCGGCGGGACGUGCCCGAAAUGCAGUGGCGGUGUCGAGUUCCGGUGCCCGAGCGUAUGGGGCUUUGCCACCCGCUCUGGAGGCCCGGCCGGCUCCGGCCCACCAUGUCAACCCCCCUCUCACACCAGGUUGACCUCGGAUCAGGUAGGGAUACCCGCUGAACUUAAGCAUAA
rnacentral:misc_RNA from 1 species